ensembl:lncRNA
CUGCAAACUAAAACAAUUAUACAAUAAAUACACCUAAAGCUUCACAGUAAAUAAUAGACUACUUUUAAGACAGAACAGCCCUAUUAUCACGAUAUGGAUUUUUAUUAUCAUGAUAUUUCUGUGUCAUGAUAUAUUGUAUACGAUAUAAUAUUGCCCAGCCCUAGUUUGAAUAUGUUUUUUUUUUAACAAUCUAUGCAUUCAAAGUAUUAAUUAAGCUAUUUUCCUACAUAUUUAAGCUAUUUAUCAUCAUGCAUGCUAGGAAAUAAAAGGUGAUAAAGCUGUAAUUUAUGUUUUUGUGUAGAUAGAAGUCCUAUAAAUAUGAUAAUCCAUAUCUUAGGUAAUUUUCCAUUCUCUGAAAGGGAAAGCCCACAUCCAUCUUCAUCUUUCUCAGUGACCCAUGCUGAUGCUUUUAGUUCUUGUCACUGGAGGAAGUGAACAGUCUAAUCAGACAGUCACACAUAAACCACAUAGUCUGCAUGCGGCGAUGUUUACUGGUAAAACUGUGAAGCGUAUUUGAAUCUGAUCAUGUUAACACGCUGUGGGCUGGGAGCUCAAAGAAAAAGAGGAAGUUCUAUUGUGAGACUUGUUUGGAGCUACUGAUGCUUUUAAAGCCGCCCACACAACAGUAAACGGAAAAUAAUGAGUGGAUUUAAGUGGGGAGUCGGCUCUGGUCAGCAGUAGUUCCAGUGGUUUAUAGGUAGAUAUACAUAAACUGUAGAGAAAUUGACGUUUAUUUUAUUUAUGGGAAAUUAGGGGCAGGAGGAAAGACUGAUUGACUGGAAAGAGGAAGAAGAAUCACAUUAAGAGACAAGACAGCAUCAUUAUUUCAUCCAUAGUUUUUUUUUUUCUUCGUCUGUUUAAUGGAUGGAAGAGGCAAGAGUUCAACAAAGGUUUCGGUGAUGAUUUUACUCAGAAUGCGUCUGACUGUUCCACUGCUGAUUAUGAUCUUCAGCUCAGGUGAGUCUGAUCUGUAUCUUCUCAUCAAAGAGUCACCUACACUUCAACUAUUCAUUUUGUUUGUGGGAGACCAGGAAAAACCGCAACGCCUUCUUACACAGAAUCUAUUUACCGUUGGUUGUUUACAAAUGUUGAAAUACGAGAAACAUAUUUUGUGUUGCAAAUUAGAGCAGGAACAAUACCAACACUAUGCAGCAUGCAAAACAUUUUACACCCACAGUCUGAGUUUCUGUCUGAGUUUCUGUAACUGGAACAGUUAGGCAAAUUAGGUAAGAGCUGAUUUCCAGUAGUUUUAAAGUUAAAAAUGUUUUAUAUAUCAAUUUUACUGUUUUCAAGGUAACUAAAGCAGAUAUUUGGGGACUCUGCAUGGUCAGUACUUACUAAUACGCAUUGUCAAGUUUUAAGUAUAGCUUGAAAAUGAUUUUUGUAGCAGAUGGGACUUUUAGUUCUACUUAGGGCUGCUUCUAGAUGUGUGGGAUAUUUUUAAACCAUCUUACUGCUCUGCUUUGUAAAGGUCUAACCAUAUGGCAAAACCCUCAGCUUGUGUCUCUUCUAUGCUGCUGUAGAAGCUGCUUAACAGUUGGAGAGGUUUUUGUUUCAUAAAAUGAUGUUUCUUUAUUCUCCAAACAAAUAUUUGCCCAUUUUAGCCAAAAAUGUUGCUAUAUAUUGUAAUUAUUCAACAUGCAUAAUUUCCAAAAUGCAUCAGGUUUAAUGUGUUUAGAUGUUUGUUUGAGGUUUUAGUGAUGAGGAUGUAGGAUUUUUUUUUUUUUUCAUUUCUUUUUUUUUUCUUUUCAUGACUAAAAUUAAUAAGGAAUCUUAGCUCGUUUUUCUUGAUCAAUGACCUCAAUUUCUCUAAUAUUCUUGGACUUUUCUAUGGGGUUCAUGUGAGGCAACCGUAAACCAUAACUACAUCCCCAGGGGCCAGUUGUUCAAAGGAAAUCUGAUCGGAUUUUGGUUAUCGGAUUGGAUCAAAUCUGGAAAACGGGUUGUUCAAAAGGGAAAGAAGCAUUCUGAAAUCGGAUCAGAUCACGUAAUCCAAUCCUAGUUUGUAAAUGGAUCAAACCUUCAGUUUCUGUUGUUCAAAACUUUUCAGUAGGAUUUGGAUAACUUUGAUCCAAAAAAACAGGAUUACCCUGAUCCCAACAAGGGGUAGGAUUUCAAGGGGGAUUUCAGGAAGUAAAUGUGGUAAAACUUUAAAAUCAAAGUUUUAAAGUAAAAAAAAAACACAUUUGUACAAUUUAGCGUAUAUACAUUUACUUCUAUUUUGCACUUGACCUGUUUAACCGUUACAGUAAUAAAGUAGACAUUGGCUACCA